GGUAAGGUGGCCGAGUGGUUAAGGCGUUGGAUUUAAGAGUGAUGUUUAUCACCUUGAAGUUCCCCAAUGACGAGAGUCUCCAGGGUUCGAACCCCUGUCUUACCA
rnacentral:tRNA from 1 species